rnacentral:rRNA from 1 species
AGUGAACGCUGGCGGUAGGCCUAACACAUGCAAGUCGAACGGCAGCACAGUAAGAGCUUGCUCUUACGGGUGGCGAGUGGCGGACGGGUGAGGAAUACAUCGGAAUCUACUUUUUCGUGGGGGAUAACGUAGGGAAACUUACGCUAAUACCGCAUACGACCUACGGGUGAAAGCAGGGGAUCUUCGGACCUUGCGCGGUUGAAUGAGCCGAUGUCGGAUUAGCUAGUUGGCGGGGUAAAGGCCCACCAAGGCGACGAUCCGUAGCCGGUCUGAGAGGAUGAUCAGCCACACUGGAACUGAGACACGGUCCAGACUCCUACGGGAGGCAGCAGUGGGGAAUAUUGGACAAUGGGCGCAAGCCUGAUCCAGCCAUACCGCGUGGGUGAAGAAGGCCUUCGGGUUGUAAAGCCCUUUUGUUGGGAAAGAAAAGCAGCAGGUUAAUACCCCGCUGUUCUGACGGUACCCAAAGAAUAAGCACCGGCUAACUUCGUG